GCGGGUGUAGCUCAAAGGUAGAGCCCCAGCCUUCCAAGCUGGUGGUGGGGGUUCGAUUCCCCUCACCCGCUCCA
rnacentral:tRNA from 1 species